GGCGGAGGGAGUUCGAUCGGUUGAACAAUAGAUUGUGAAUCUAAGAGUUACGGGUUCGAGUCCCGUUCUUCGCC
rnacentral:tRNA from 1 species